rnacentral:rRNA from 1 species
GUCCACGCUGUAAACGAUGGGUGCUAGUUGUCGCGGGUAACCAACCCUGCGGUGACGAAGCUAACGCGAUAAGCACCCCGCCUGGGGAUUACGGCCGCAAGGCUAAAACUCAAAGGAAUUGACGGGGGCCCGCACAAGCGGUGGAGUAUGUGGUUUAAUUCGACGCAACGCGCAGAACCUUACCCAGACUUGACAUCCUUGGAACCUGGCCGAAAAGCUGGGGUGCUCGCAAGAGAACCAAGUGACAGGUGCUGCAUGGCUGUCGU